UACAGAGGGUGCAAGCGUUGUUCGGAAUUAUUGGGCGUAAAGGGUGUGUAGGCGGUUUGUUAAGUCUUCUGUGAAAUCUACGGGCUUAGCCUGUAACGUGCAGAGGAAACUAGCAGGCUUGAGUGUCGGAGAGGAUAGGGGAAUUCCCGGUGUAGAGGUGAAAUUCGUAGAGAUCGGGAGGAACACCAGUGGCGAAGGCGCCUAUCUGGCUGACAACUGACGCUGAGACUCGAAAGCAUGGGGAGCAAACAGG
rnacentral:rRNA from 1 species